AUUGAACGCUGGCGGCAGGCCUAACACAUGCAAGUCGAGCGAAGCUGCGGACGGGUGAGUAAUGCCUAGGAAUCUGCCUGGUAGUGGGGGAUAACGUCCGGAAACGGGAGCUAAUACAGCAUACUCGCAGAUGGGUCUAGGUCGGGUUAGCUAGUUGGUGGGGUAAAGGCGUACCAAGGCGACGAUCCGAAACUGGUCUGCGAGGCUGAUCAGUCACACUGGAACUGAGACACGGUCCAGACUCCUACGGGAGGCAGCAGUGGGGAAUAUUGGACAAUGGGCGAAAGCCUGAUCCAGCCAUGCCGCGUGUGUGAAGAAGGUCUUCGGAUUGUAAAGCACUGUAAUUUGGGAGGCGUUACCUACACAAAAAGCACCGGCUAACUUCGUGCCAGCAGCCGCGGUAAUAC
rnacentral:rRNA from 1 species